GCUGUGCUCACAUAUUGCCAUU
rnacentral:miRNA from 8 species